AGUUCAGAGGGUGUGACAGUCGAGAUCGAGAACAAGAAAGAAGUGAGACAGAGAAGCACGAUGGAUGAAUUCAGAUGGAUUCAAAUGUUUUUAUGUCUGAUGAUUCAGAUUGCAGUAUCUGUAAAUGAAACAUCGAUUUUUAUGAAAGUUGGAGAUGACGUCACUCUACUUUGUCUAAAUGUGAUAGAUGAGCAGAAUAACUGUGAUGGGACUACGUGGAUCUUUACUUCAACAAACAAACCAACAACAGUAGAGCUGAUCACACUUGGACAGAUUGGUGAAGAAGCCAAAACUCAAUCAGACAGACUGAGUGUUACAGCGAACUGUUCUCUGCUUAUAAAGAAGCUCACAGUCGAGGAUGUUGGUCUUUAUUACUGUCAACAAUACAAAGUCAAAGAAACACCAUCUCAACACACUCUGGUUCAUCAGUCUUUUGUUCAUGUCGCUGUUAUUACCUUUCUUUUUUUUUUCAUUUUUCUCUCAUUAUAUUCACCAGUGACUGAACAUAAGGACAUUGAUAAGGGGACGCUAAACUGCUCUGUGCUGACACAUGGAGAGUGUCAUCAGACAGUGAUGUGGCAAAUUAAAGGUAAAGAUGUAGACAAAAAUAACAACCAAACAGUGACUUCACACACUGUUUGCUCCACCACGGUGUCCAUUCCAGAGUCAAACUUUCUUUACUCAUCAAGAUAUAACAUACUGGCAUGUGAAGUGACUGACACUAAAACAGGAAAAGUGCAGCUGUUUACCUUCACUUCUCAGCUCACAGGUGAAGAAACAGGUGACACAAAAUCAACGAAGACACCAUCCAGAAAAACUGAAAGCAACACAAAUUCAGAAACAACCACAACAAUAAUAAUUCACAAGAUUCUUCUGUAUCUUUGCGGUCCAUUAUUGUCUCUGUGGGGUUAGCAGCAACUUUAAUAACUGCUGUGUCAGUCAACAUAUGGACAAGAACUAAAGGCAAAUUUAAUAAUGAGAACUUUGAAUGAUUUAGAAAUUUUAUUUUAGACUGAAAUUGACUUCCUUUUCUCAUUUUAGGGAACACGACCAAGAUGGAUAAAACAAUACAUUAUGAUCAAGAUGAAGAUGAUGUUACAAUUAACUAUGAAAACAUCGGGGUUUCUGCUGCUUCAGUCAGAUUCAACUGAUCAACUUGGCUUUUAUAUUACCAGUAUCAUCUCAUCCAGUUUUAUAGAUUAAAUAGUAUAAAAUAGAGAAGUUUAUUCAAUGUAAGUCGUUCCCAUUAAGUUGAUUCAGCUCAUCUGCGUGUUUUGUUUUCAGUGGGUGAAAUGUGUCAUCAUUCAUCCUUCUUUACUCUUCUUCAGUCACUCGGAUAUUUGACAAAACAUGUUCCCCUCAAACCGCUAUGAUCUGAUUGAGCAUGUAUCAAGACCAUAUACAUAGUUGUUUUGUGUUUCAAUAUUAUGAUUAUGGAUUUAUAUUAUGGAUAUUCAGGUCUUGAACUUGUAUGAGUUUUAUUACAUCCUGUUCAGACCUUCACUCGCAUCUUUGAUUGAAUAGACUUAGAAGAAGAGGAGUCGAGGAUGCACAAACCGAGAAAUAGGUAGCCAAUAAACAAGUUUCACAAUUAACUCUCUUCUAUGUAUACCUAUUCUCUAGCUCCACUCUAAACCUAUCUACCCAUUUGACCUACUUGACCACAGUUUCUCUUUUACAUUCGUUAAUAAACCACAUAAAGACUGUUUCUGUGCACGUGGAUCUUUUUUAUGCUCUCCUAAUAUAUUUGUGACACAAUACUUCAUGGUUCUGUAAAUUACUGAAAUGAAACAAGCUGAGACUUGAGGUGAGAGAACAGGAAGUUGUGUGGUGAGAGAGGCUGACAGAGAGACUAGCAGCUGGAGGUGGCUGAAGUACAGACAUUCCUUAUUUAAAUCAAAGUGCAGAUACAUGUGUUAUAGAACAUCCUGGCAAAUGUUGAAGUACUGACUCAACUUCUUUUAAUCAAGUUAAAUGGAAAAGGUGCAGCAUUUUAAAUGUACUCAGCAAACAGUAGCUGAAAAGUAGUUUGCUUACAUUUCUACCAGCUAUAAUAAAAUAAUAAUAGAAACGGGAAUACAGUUAAAGGGAAAAAUGAGGACAGCCAUUUGGUUAAAGUGGGAUUUGGCACAUUGGGAAAAUCUAGUACUAGUUGUAGAGGCUCAGUGUGAAGUAAAAGAAUGACUCACAACUCCAGUAAUCUUCUUUGUAUAGGCUAUUUAUCCUGCACUAAACUGCUGAUUGUUUUCAGGCAACCUUUAAAUAAAAGUUAGUUUAACUCACUUUACAUUUAAAUAUAACCAUUGUUCUUUCUCUCCUUUCCAGUCUUUCUUACAUCUUUCUCCAUCUCUAAGUGAAGUGCUCUCUCCUUCAGGGAAAUACAGCAGCUGUACCUUAUCAUUUCUCUUUAUGGUAAUUUCCCUUUAUUCGAAAUAUCUUCAUGAAUUUCCCUUAUAUGGGUACAUUAUGAGCAAACCCACUCCAGGUUUACCACAGAAAACUGUCACAGGGCCACAAAGGUUAAAAGCGAUGUGGGGCCUGCAUGGCCUAA